UGCGUAGUACAUCAGCGUUCGGUACACCCCCUCACACACACACACGCGGACCUCUCUGUGGAGAAGCCAAGCAUCCCUCUUAUCGCUGCCAAUACCGAGCCACUUCCAGUCGUGGCAUGGCCAGGUGCCUACGAUGUAGAGGGGUCAGAGCAAAUGUAUCGCUACUGAUGCCGACGGUCAGGUCGUGCUUGGCGUUUUGCUGGCGCAAGCUGCGGAAGUAAGCAAAUUUGCACGAACCAGAUGAGGGGCAGAGUUUGAGGCAGAGGCCGCGCUCAGGUGGCUGAGUCGGCGCAUUUCUGCACUGGCGUCUCUACGGCUGCUUCGCACCACUCGGUCGGGCCCGUGACCGGUCGGGGCUCCAGACUGGAGCUUGGCUUAUAUUCCGUGGCAGAACGGGCAUGUGGAAGAAAGAGCUUUUACUCUCGUGGCUCUCACGCGAGGCGAUCACGAGGUGCUUGCGUGCGGAACCGCAGACGGCCGGCGUUUUAGCCCUUUAGCAGCCCAGGAACGUUGCGUCUCGUGCGCUUUACCUGAUUCAAGGCUCAGGCCCAUCAUCUUUCCCAGCCCUCGCGCAGCAGACAACCAUCGCAUCGCGUAGCCUUGGCCCUCAUUUUGUGCUCGCAGUCACGUCUUCCUGUAAAUCCGCCGCGUCGGCCAUGCCUGACGUGCGCGCGCUGCUGGACACGAGCAUGUUCACGUGCGGGCAGUACCGCCCCGCCGGCAGCGAGCAGACGCUGCAGGUGGCGCUUGGCCGCGACGUGCAGCGCGAUCUGGGCCGCGUGCCGCAGCGCAUCGGCGUGCGCGUGGCCAUGACGGAGGAUACGGCGACGCUGCUGCGCGCGGAGGACGAUAGCGGUGGCAGGGGCUUCUGCUGCGGAUCACGAAGUGCUGUGCAAGGGGUGCACGAGCAUUCUCGGUGUGGGCGCAGUCCGCGGGGAUGGUUCCCACGCUGGACGCGUUAAUCGCAGAAACCCAAGCGCUGAAGCGCAGAGGCUAUGUGAUGAGCAGCGUGUCAGCCUGCAACGCAUGCCCGUCGAUGCCCGUCUACUAGCCCAGGAGGGGGGCCGCCCUGGCGCCAAUGGAUGCGGUGCAUUCACCAGUCGCACCGAUCAGCGCUGUGUCGUAGGUGUCAGUCAAGGUCGCGACUUUGGACUCUGUUGGCACCUCGCAAGUCCCUUUGGCAGCUAAGCGCCAGAGAGCGUGCGGGACCAUCGAAUCGCAUAUCUUUGGCUCCGCUAGUGCGAUCUCAUCUGCGAACGAUAUCGUCUGCACUGCACUAUUUACCCGGUGAUCGAAACGAUCACACCAGACGCGGUCAUUCGCAGUCUUUUCAAGCGGAUACAGAGGCUACGGCACCCGAGCAUGCUCCCGCUGCCGCCUUUUUUGUGGUUGUCGAAUCUCUGGCAGGCGGGGUGUGGUGUUCAUUUCAGUGCUCAGCCCCCUGGCGGAGCGCCACGGCAGAGCAGCGAAUCGCAAAGGAGCGGUGAAAUACCGUACGUGUGGUGCGGUUUGGUGGAACCGAUCGCCCUACGCUCGUUGUCUCUUUCACGGCGACGGUCUGGCACGUGAGAUCCUUCACUUCGGCAACGUUGUGGUAAGUGCUGAUGGCCCCUGCCAUCUGGCAGGCCGAUCCACCAGCCGGCCACUGGCUCGAAAGCUGUUCUAGCUGUCUCGAACGUGUUACAUCAGCCUUCUGAGGGCAACAAGGGCAUCGCCAACUCCGGCGUGUGGCAUGUUCUGCUAUGGGCUCAUGGCCCUUGAAGCCGUCGUUCCCCAACUAUGGAGAUGGGCAACUGCAGCUGACGGUCGACCCCUGAGCACUGCCUCAGACUGACGGUGUUAAUGAAGGCAAGUCGGAGGGAUUUCAGCGACGCGGUGGUGCGGGGCCGCGUGAUGGUGAGCUCGGAUAUGUUAGGUACAUCCAAGCUCGUGCAUUACUAUAGCGAACCCACAGCGGCAAUGGUGCGUAGCUUGUUGUCGCCUGAUCAGCCGCAGAGGCCCACGAUACAGUAGGUACGGGAAGUGAGCACAUCGCUGCUGGUGCAAGCGGGCACCAGUGGACGAGGAAUUCCAGCACCUGACGGAAGGCCAAACGACGGCUGCUGAGCAUCUUCCAUCUCCUACCUUUCGGGAGGGGGGAGAGGGGUGUGUGCGAUGGGCCUCGCGAUAGGCGGCGCGUGCGUUUGUUUGAUCAAAGGCACCGUUUUGUCUUGUGGCCGUCAACGGUGCGAACGGAUCGCGGCACCUCCCCCCGGUCACCCGGCUCAUCCUGAGUCGUCGCCGUCUUUGUGUAACGCGGGGAGCGAGGCCUGCGGAGCCGCCGCAGACGAAUGCGUGAUGCGCCUCUCCUCUCUUCUCUCGCCGCCAGCCUUGCGUGUCCUUUCUGUUUCCAUCUUGUGGGCUCGUUCCGCUGUCGCUGGCUCUUUGUGCAACUCUGUAGGCGUGCGCAUGUUUGUUUGGCCCGCAUGCGCGACGCGUCUGUGUGGGUGGUGGCCGUCGAUGAAGGUGUCCGUAAUAUAUGCUCACGCCGCCUCGCGCUCUGAAGGAAGCAUUCGUUCUCCAUAAUUCUUUUGCUGAUGUUGUUGUUGUGGGCCUCGUGCGUGCGCAAGGCGCGCGUGUCCUUUUAUUCACCGCAUGCCCCCUCUGCGCCCAGCAUUCUUCUCUGCCGUGUGCAAGCUCGUGGGGAGGGAAGAGGGGAAGGUGUCGUCUGGCGUUUCCUUGUCUUCUAGUGUCGUGAUAGCCGCUUCGCGCUCGCUACGUGUUGCCCUUUUAUAUCGCCCAACGCACCGCCUCCUCCUACCCCACUUGAACUCACCCUCGCUGGUCCUGCCGUCGCCUCCGCGACACGAAUCAGUGUCGACUCCACCUCUUCUAGCCUUCCGUGCUCACUGGCUUCCCACUCGGAUUCUUGCUCAUCAUCCUCCUCCACCCCGCCACCCUCACAUGCACCACGGCUGCUUGUCAUUUUCUUUUUUUUUGCGUGGAACGAUCUGCCUUGCUCAUCCUCUUCAUCUGCUGGAGGCCUUCUGCUUUCCUUCUGCCCCCUUCUCCUUUUAUGCCCUUCUCGCCCCUACGUCUCCCUGUGGAGGGGGAGGGGGGCGUCGACAGCGCUCCUCCCCUCGUGCAUUCUUUUUUGUUGUUUCCUACUUGCCUCUGUGUGUUCUUCACCGCGGCUCUUUAUCGUGCGGUGUCACUGUCGAAGAUCUGCACGGCACCGCCUCUGCCAUCCGAGCCGUGCUUUUUCUAUUACUAUUCUUGUCGAUUGGUCAGCAGCCCCGUGUGUCUCUGUGGGUGCGCUUGAUGUCUGCAUGAAGCCCCUCUCUCUGAGGCAAGUCCGCUUCUUCUCUAUUUCUCUCGUGGUUUUACUGUGGUUGCGCGUCCUUCUCGUGCUGCGGCUGCGCAUGUGGAGACGAUGGUUGAUUCGGUGGUGUACCGGCUACUCUUUUUUGGCGUCUUCCUUCGCUUCGAUCGAUCCUAAAAGCAGCUUUUCGACGGAGGCACGACCCGGAGGAAGAGUCCACAUCCUCCGCCGGCCUCCCCGUGUCUCUCGCUGGCACGCGCGUGCGCGGAAGUUAGAGGGGGCGGGGCAAGACCAUUGGAGGGUGCGGGACUGUGGUGACGCUAUUUGCUCGCGCCUGCACUUACCCCCCCCCUCCCGGCGUUUCUCAUGUUCUUGCAGCCGGCUCUGUUCAUACCCUGAGAGUCGUCUCCUGUCAGGGAGGCUAGAUAUUGAAGUUGCGCGAAGAGUUCUAAGUCUCCUUCCCCUGUGUCGAAUUCCCCGUAUAGGAGCGAAGCUGUUCCACUAAAGGCCUUGAUGAACGAAGUGUCUUUCUGCGCUCUUCUCCCGUAACCUCCGCAGCACACCUCGACCACUUUUUUGUUGUCGCUGUCGCCUCCCAGCGCGUCAGGCACGCAGGAAGCCGUCACAGCUGCGGGGUUGAGGCUCUUCUAGCAGCUGGCGUUUUUGGCGUUGAGGAUCUGUGAAGCCCCUUUUCUGUUCUUCAUCUACAAGAGAGCGGAAGGUGUUGCUGUGUCAGUGCAACUUCUGUGUGUGUGUGUGUGUACAGCCACUCAGCACAGCACUCUCUCGCUAAGUUGCCAGUAGAGAACCGCUUCGGCUACCCUGUUGCCGUUCAUUAUGCAGGCUCAUCACCGCCCCACCCCCUCCUCCUCUUGUGCUGUUGGUUUCGCAGCGGGGGUAGGGUGGGGGAGGGGGCACUGCUGCCACACUUCACCUGCCUCUUACGUCUCUUCUUGUUUUGUUUUGUUGUUUGUGUUCUCCUGUGAGCGUUAUCACCGCUGGCCGACGCACGUAUAAG
rnacentral:misc_RNA from 1 species